ACACCGUGUAGUGUGAAUAAUCAUCUCCCACAUCCUCAGGUAGCCAAAGUUAAAUAUAACAGGAGUGUACAAAUCCAUAAAGAUCCCCAAUUUAAAGCAAUGAUGACAUAGCUUGAUUUUUUCCCUCUGAAAAUACACCUGUGGGUGCACCAUAUACAAAUGCUGCCACUCUCCUGCCUGUUCCAGCAAGAUGCAUCAAGGAUAGGAUGGAGAAGCUCUUACAGACAGAAAGCUGCAGGUUGUCUGUGAGUCUCAGAGGUGAUUACAAACAUAUUUAGUCAUGAAAAGACCAUCUCCAGACAUAAGCCCAAGAGCAGCAUCUGGGGAUGCAGUUUUCUCAGGCAUACCCAUUUCCCUUG
rnacentral:lncRNA from 1 species